UAAGGAAUAUUGGACAAUGGCCGCAAGGCUGAUCCAGCCAUCCCGCGUGCAGGAAGACGGCCCUACGGGUUGUAAACUGCUUUUGUCAGGGAAGAAACCUUUGGAUUUACUCCGAAUCUGACGGUACCUGAAGAAUAAGCACCGGCUAACUCCGUGCCAGCAGCCGCGGUAAUACAGAGGGUGCAAGCGUUAUCCAGAAUUACUGGGUUUAAAGGGUGCGUACGCGGCUUUGUAAGUCAGGAGUGAAAGUUUGCGGCUUACCGUAAAAUUGCUUUUAAUCUGCAUCGCUAGAAUUAAGAUGAGGUCAGCAGAUGUGGCAUGUAGCGGUGAAAUGCAUAUAUAUGCCAUAAAACACCAAUUGCGAAGGCAGCUGGCUAGACCUAUAUUGACGCUGACGCACGAAAGCGUGGAGAGCGAACAAGAUUAUAUACCCUGGUAGUCCACGCCCUAAACUAUGCUUACUCGACGUAUGGCCCUUGUGGUUGUGCGUCCAAGGGAAACCGUUAGAUAAGCCACCUGGGGAGUACGUUCGCAAGAAUG
rnacentral:rRNA from 1 species